GCCAGCAUGGCGUAGUGGUUUGGGUGUUGCACUAACACUCCAAAGACCAGGGUUCGAUUCCUGCUUGAC